UACGGGGGGGGGCAAGCGUUGUUCGGAAUUACUGGGCGUAAAGGGCUCGUAGGCGGCCAACUAAGUCCGACGUGAAAUCCCCAGGCUUAACCUGGGAACUGCGUCGGAUACUGGAUGGCUUGAAUUCGGGAGAGGGAUGCAGAAUUCCAGGUGUAGCGGUGAAAUGCGUAGAUAUCUGGAGGAAUACCGGUGGCGAAGGCGGCAUCCUGGACCGGCAUUGACGCUGAUGAGCGAAAGCUAGGGGAGCAAACGGGG
rnacentral:rRNA from 1 species